rnacentral:tRNA from 1 species
AAGAAGUUAAUCUAAAAUAAGAUCACUAGUUUCGACCUGGUAUAUUGUGUGUAACCCACAACUUCUUU